rnacentral:rRNA from 1 species
AGAGUUUGAUCCUGGCUCAGAACGAACGCUGGCGGCAGGCCUAACACAUGCAAGUCGAACGAUAAGCCACCUUCGGGUGGUGGACAGUGGCAGACGGGUGAGUAACGCGUGGGAACGUGCCUUUCGGUUCGGAAUAACCCAGGGAAACUUGGGCUAAUACCGGAUACGCCCUUCGGGGGAAAGAUUCAUUGCCGAAAGAUCGGCCCGCGUCGGAUUAGCUAGUUGGUGGGGUAAUGGCUCACCAAGGCGACGAUCCGUAGCUGGUCUGAGAGGAUGACCAGCCACACUGGGACUGAGACACGGCCCAGACUCCUACGGGAGGCAGCAGUGGGGAAUAUUGGACAAUGGGCGCAAGCCUGAUCCAGCCAUGCCGCGUGGGUGAAGAAGGCCUUAGGGUUGUAAACCCCUUUCAGCGGGGAAGAUAAUGACGGUACCCGCAGAAGAAGUCCCGGCUAACUCCGUGCCAGCAGCCGCGGUA